CCUACGGGAGGCAGCAGUGGGGAAUAUUGGGCAAUGGGCGCAAGCCUGACCCAGCAAUGCCGCGUGAAGGAAGAAGGCCCUGGGGUUGAAAACUUCUUUUAUAAGGGAGGAGGGAGGGGACGGUACCUGAUGAAUAAGCUCCGGCUAACUACGGGCCAGAAGCCGCGGAAAUACGUAGGGAGAAAGCGUUAUCCGGAUUUACUGGGGGUAAAGGGCGCGAAGGCGGGAUGGCAAGU
rnacentral:rRNA from 1 species